rnacentral:tRNA from 1 species
GGGCCCGUAGUGAAAUGGACUAUCACACACAGCCACUAACUGUGCAAUCCGAGUUCGAAUCUCGGCGGGCCUGCCA